GCCUGGAUUCUUCAACUCUAGAGAUCUUCUUUAUGGAACAGAAUCGUCCUCAAGUACCUUUCAAUUGUCUUCUACUAACGAAAUGAGUUUCACGAUGAUGGAAGCUCGAUGAAUCCGUCGCUACUACUUUUUAGUUUUUACUUUUUAUGAGAUGAUCACUUGUGUCUUGAAGUGUAAUUCUGUCUACCCUAAAACAAAUGUACUAGACUUGUUUUUCUUCGGGUUAGGUGGAACUAUUGCAUGUCCCCGUCUCCAAACAAGCCACUGCCUCUUGACUUUGAGUCUUGAAAAGGUAAAACGUCCUCGUUCUUUGGCCACAAAAGUGGAAUCGCCGAUAGAUUGUUGCCGGAUCUGAUCCAAAAAGGCUCAAUAAAUCUCAGCCGUCUAAAAAACAUAUUCUAAAUUUAACGAUUGAAAACAUAAGGCAAGAUUGACAUUUCAUACAAAAUCCCUAAUAAUUACAACAACCUCCAAAAUCAGACAAAUGAGUAUACUAAAUAUGUACUUAGUAUAAUACUUAAUAUUUGUUAAAAAACGUUUAGUGCUUGAUAUUACACUUUGUACAAAAUCACACAAAUGUGUGUACACUUUUUUACGGGUUGAUACAAAUUUAUAUAUUUACAUGUAUAGAAAACUAGGAGUACGCGCUUAUGAUACAGAGGCAAUAAUCGAGAAAUAACUUCAAAGGUUUUGAAGUUUCAUACGACGAUCAUAAUCAAGUUCAAGUUCAUUUAACUUAUUUAGUUUUGUAGUUUAUUGUUAGGUCAGUAUUUGAUUAUUUUGUAUUCUGCUAAGUUUGUUUACUUAGUCUGCUAACACAUCUCCCUUCUCAUGUUUCUGAAAGACAGACAGCUAAAAGGCAGCUUCUACCACCAUCAGUCAUUGAUCUAACUCAUAGCAGAAAUGCUACAAAGAAGGAACACCAUUACACCAGCAAUUUUCAAAGGGCCAGUUCUUUAUAGCAAUUUUCAAUCAUUGAAAGAAGAACCCUUGUAAAGGUUGGGUCGUAUAUACAUAACCUCUUGUAAAAUGUUACAUCUUGCUCAUCCUAACUGCUCCCAUUUUUUAGCUUUACAUGCUUCUGAAUCUUCCCAGUAGCAGUCUUUGGCAAUGGACCAAACACCACAGACUUUGGAAACCAUUAAACAGGCAUAUUAUUCCUACAACUCACUAUAUCUUCCUCCAACUUCUUCCUAAUUCCAUCACCAUCCUUAUCUCAUGCUAUGAAGUGUGCACCACAAACAAGCUAAUUAAUAGCUUGAAACGUCAUAACUAGUUGAGCCUUGUAGAAGUACAGAUGUGGACAAUGUCAAAACCAUCAGCCACUGGGCCCUGGCAAUUCGGUACAUACUAUAAUGAUUCUGCAAUUUGAUUGAUCAUCUACUCAGAGCACGAGAAAAGACAAUAAGGAAGAACUCUAGGAAUGUGCAGAAGAACUAUCCUUGUAUCAUGCUAUAAAUGUGGACCACAACCUCCUAGCUAAUCAACAGCUUGACUGGGUAAGCUGUUGAAAGUUCUUGGUCAACUACUUGACUCACUAGUCUCUUUCAUUCCUUAAUUUUCAAGUCUCCCCUAAGGUUUACUUGGAUAAUCCACUGUUAUUACGGUUGACUAGCUAAUAGCUUGAUUGGGUACGCUGUCUGAAAUUUCGUCGUGGACUUUGACUCACUACUCACUUUCUUUCGUUAAUUUCCAAGUCCACCCCCAAGGUUUUAGUUGGAUGAUCUACUGUUACACUGUUGACUAGCAAGCAAAAGUACUUCAAAAGGAUGCUUAUAAUCACUAAAGCAAUGCGCAAUUCACAGAGAGAUAAAUAGCAUAUAUAUAUGUUCCAAUGGAGAGGUUGAUGUUGCUUCUUCUUCCUGUUGUUUAUUUGCUCCUACUUUUACCCUCUUCUUCUUUUGCACUUAAAGCUGUGAGUCCAACUCAACCACUCACUGACAACGAUGAUGCUCAGACCUUACAGUCCAGAGAUGGAACAUUCGAGCUCGGUUUCUUCACUCCUACAGGCGCGCCGUCCAAGAAUCGUUACUUGGGAAUAUGGUACAGAAACAUAGCUGUUAGAAAAGUCGUUUGGGUUGCUAACGGAGAAAGUCCAGCCACUGACAGCGGCAGCUCUUUGAUCAUCGACACUGCCAAGAAUAACAGUCUGGUACUUGUCAGCAGCGACAAGAAUAAUACUGUUUUAUGGUCUACUUCAGAAUAUGGUACCUUGAUGAUCCCUACGAAUCCAGUAGCCGAGCUUCUGGAGACGGGGAAUUUGGUACUACGAGAUCAAAACGAUGAAAAAGGCAAUAACUACUUUUGGCAGAGCUUUGACUAUCCAUGUGACACGCUGUUAGCAGGGAUGAAGCUUGGAUGGGAUUCCAAGACGGGGCUCAACCGUAGAAUAACAGCGUGGAAAAGCCCCGAGGAUCCAUCCCCUGGAGACUUCACUUGGGGUUACCAAGUUCAUCAGGAUAAUCCCGAGGGAAUUUUGUGGAAGGGUUCGGAUAAGAUGUACAGAACCGGGCCAUGGAAUGGCGUAGGGUUUAGUGGUAACCCUGAUUUGAAGGAGAAUCCUGUUUUUUCGUACCAAUUCAUAUGGGAUGAAGAUGAUGUUUACUACAAAUUCCAGCUGAAGAACCAGUCCUUGAUCUCGAUCGUAGUCAUGAACCAGACAUCGUAUACAAGGCAACGCUUGGCUUGGAAUGAAGUCACUCAGACUUGGGGGAUGUAUACUUCUGUGCCGAGGGAUCGAUGCGACAACUAUGCAAUCUGCGGUGUGUAUGCAAGCUGUGCAGUUUCUGACUCUCCGAUUUGUCAGUGCUUGAAAGGGUUCAAGCCUAGGUCACGUGACAUGUGGGAUAUGAUGGACUGGUCACAUGGAUGCAUGAGGGAUAAGCCGUUAGAGUGCUUGGGAGAUGGGUUUGUGAAGUCUCUGGGAUGAAAUUGCCUGAUGCUACAAAUUCAUGGGUGAACAAGAGUAUGAGUUUGGAGGAAUGCAGAGGCAACUGUUUGAUGAAUUGUUCUUGUAUGGUGUAUACUAGUACCGAUAUUCGAGGGGCUGGAAGUGGCUGCUCUAUUUGGUACGGUGAUCUGAACGACAUGAAACAGUUUCCAGGCAGGGGACAAGAGAUAUACAUCCGAAUGCCUGCUUCAGAAAUAGGUAGUUUCAUAUGCCUUUUUGUUUCCUAGAUAGUUACCGUGUUUUCUUAAAUCCUGACUGGGGGGUUUGUGUGACUGAUGAAGAGACCAAGAAUAAGGUGAGAUCAAGGGUAGCUUCCAUUGUUGGACCUGUGGUUGGAAGUCUGCUAGGGCUGCUUGUCAUUGCCUAUUUCAUUCCUAAGAUGAAAUCAAAGUGCAAAGGUAAAAAAGCUGGUACUCGAUAAUACGAUAUGACGGUUUCAAGUAAAUGUUCUCAUUUCACGCUAAUCUGAUGUCCCUACAUGAUCAGGCAGACGAAGAAGCAGCAGCAAGAUGACUGCAAAACUCAGCAGAAAUGAAGAAAUAGAGCUACCAUUGUUUGAACUAACUGCAAUAGUUGAUGCCACUGGCAACUUUGCAUUUGCCAACAAGUUGGGGGAAGGAGGAUAUGGACCUGUCUACGUGGUAAAGGGAUGAACUAACUAGUAUCCAAUUCAAUAGAGCUAGAUGUAUCUUCAUCAAAUCUAAAACGCUUAUACUCCAUAUAUAUACACAGGGUGUUAUGGGAGAUGGACAAGAAAUUGCAGUGAAGAGGCUAUCAAGCAGUUCAGGGCAAGGAAUGAAGGAAUUCAAGAACGAAGUACUACUGAUUUCAAAACUUCAACACAGGAAUCUUGUCAAGCUUCUUGGGUGCUGCAUACAGGGAGAUGAAAAGAUGCUGGUUUAUGAAUACAUGCCUAACAAAGGCCUCGACUCCUUCAUUUUUGGUCCGUGUUUAAAUCUUCUCUUGCAUAACAUAUUUUCCAUUUACCUGAAUGUUGCACAGCUUCAAUAAAUGUUAUGCAAUGGAUUGGGGAUUUCUGGAAAUCAAAAUUCUAAUGUGUUGUCGUUCAAAGGUUCUGAUGCUAUAUACUAUCUCAGUAACUCGAGUUAUUGGGAGAGAAUGUGCAACAAUAGUGUUAUAUUAUUUAUUAACAAAAGUGUGAUGUAUGGAAAUGGCAGAUGACAAGAGGAGUGGAUGCCUAGGAUGGGGGAAGCGUUUCAACAUAAUUUGUGGGAUAGCUAGAGGACUACUGUAUCUUCAUCAAGACUCAAGAUUGAGAAUCGUUCAUAGAGAUCUAAAAGCAAGUAAUGUACUCCUCGAUAACGAACUGAAUCCAAAGAUCUCGGAUUUUGGCAUGGCUAGAAGCUUUGGAGGAGAUAACACUGAAGGCAACACAAACAGAGUGGUCGGAACAUAGUACGUUAAAUUAUAUCCCUUAUCACUUUUAAUACCUAGAUUUAACACAUCUAACUAUUUCAAUUCAUGCUCUUAAGUUAACUAUAUCAUUUAUGACGAACAAUAACGAUUAUUAAAUUUAACCAAAUAACCAUACCCAUUUAUUGAGCAUUACUGAUCAAUUCUCUCUGGCUAGAUAACUAUCGAAUUUGAGGAUUGUUUUUUUUUGUAAGCUCACUGACGAACGAUAGUUUUUGUCUAUAUUGAUUAUGUCCACUUAUUAAUUUUCCAUGAAAGUGGUUUAGGUAAAGACUUUUGUGGAUAACUAAAGACUUAUGCUAAUUAUUUCAUUUUAUUUUUUUAUAAUUAAUAGUGGCUUACUCAAAGGUGACGUUUGAAUAAAAAAACACAUAUAUAUGUAACAUAUUUAAUUUUACAGUGGGUACAUGGCACCAGAAUAUGCUGCUGACGGGUUAUUCUCAGUAAAAUCAGACGUUUUCAGCUUUGGAAUUCUUAUACUUGAAAUUAUAAGUCGGAAGAAAAGUCGUAGUUUUUACCAUGUUGAUCAGAGUUUGAACCUUAUUGGAUAUGUAAGUGUUUAUGGCUAAAGACAAACUUUAUUAUACAUGAUUCUACAUAUUAGACUAUUAUUUAUUAUUGAAGUUUGUUUGGUGGCCCUCUUCAUGUUAUAGGUGUGGAAACUAUGGAAGGAAGGGAAGGCAAUAGAAAUGAUGGAUUCCGCUUUAGAAAAUGAGUCUGAUGAAAACACAUCACAAGUGAUGAGAUGCAUUCACAUAGGUUUAUUAUGUGUUCAAAAUUGUGCAGAGGACAGACUUACCAUGGGAAAUGUGGUUGUGAUGUUAGGUGGAGGAGAAGAGACAGUUGCACUAUUGCCUUCACCAAAAGAGCCUGGCUUUUUCAACGUUAAAGAUUUUUUUCAUACGACAGAAUCAUUCUUAAAUACCUUUCAAUUGUCUUCUACUAACGAAAUGAGUUUCACGGUGCUCAAAGGUUGUUGAAUCUGUCACCACCACCUUUUAGUUUUUAAAGGAUGAUUAUUGUGUUGUGUACGUUGGUUUUUAAUCAUAUGUGUAUUUCUAUCUAUCAUGUCAAAGAUAAAAAAAAAUUCAGAUUUCAUGUACAUUCUAAAUAUUUAAGAUCGAUAACAAAC
rnacentral:lncRNA from 1 species